GACGAACGCUGGCGGCGUGCUUAACACAUGCAAGUCGAACGGAAAGGCCCUGCUUUUGUGGGGUGCUCGAGUGGCGAACGGGUGAGUAACACGUGAGUAACCUGCCCUUGACUUUGGGAUAACUUCAGGAAACUGGGGCUAAUACCGGAUAGGAGCUCCUGCUGCAUGGUGGGGGUUGGAAAGUUUCGGCGGUUGGGGAUGGACUCGCGGCUUAUCAGCUUGUUGGUGGGGUAGUGGCUUACCAAGGCUUUGACGGGUAGCCGGCCUGAGAGGGUGACCGGCCACAUUGGGCUGAGAUACGGCCCAGACUCCUACGGGAGGCAGCAGUGGGGAAUAUUGCACAAUGGGCGGAAGCCUGAUGCAGCAACGCCGCGUGCGGGAUGACGGCCUUCGGGUUGUAAACCGCUUUCGCCUGUGACGAAGCGUGAGUGACGGUAAUGGGUAAAGAAGCACCGGCUAACUACGUG
rnacentral:rRNA from 1 species